GUGGAGCAUGCUUGUGGAAUGAGAACAUUGCAAAUGGGCGAAUAUGAAUCAAGUGUUUCUAUUGGGAACGACACAUUUAGCAUUCGGGAGCCACUUGGUGUUUGCACUGGGAUAUGCCCAUUUAAUUUUCCUGCUAUGAUUCCCCUAUGGAAGCGAGGGAGGCGUCGCGUCGACUUCCGCUUCUCGCCGACGGCCAUCUCCAUCGAGGACGUCCGCGACGCCGAGGAGGAGCGCGUCGUCGCCUCCUUCUAGGACCACCUCACCGUGCAUGGCUUCCUCCCCGACAAGCACGAUGACUACCACAUGAUGCUCAGGUUCCUCAAGGCCAGGAAGUUCGAAGCCGAUAAGGUGAUGCUGAUGUGGUCGGAGAUGCUGAAAUGGAGGAAGGAGUUUGGAACUAACACCAUCCUCGAGGAUUUUGUUUUCGAGGAGCUGGAUGAUGUGCUGCGCUACUACCCUCAGGGCUACCAUGGUGUGGACCGCGAAGGCCGGCCCGUGUACAUUGAGAGGCUAGGGAAGGUGGAUCCCAACAAACUCAUGCAGAUCACCUCUGUGGAUCGCUACAUCAAGUACCAUGUCCAGGAGUUUGAGAGAGCCUUCAGGGAGAGGUUCCCUGCCUGCACAUUGGCUGCCAAGAGGCACAUUGACUCCACCACUACCAUCUUGGACGUCUAGGGUGUGGGGUUUAAGAAUUUCUCCAAGACUGCAAGAAAACUUGUGCAUCGGAUGCAGAAGAUUGAUAGCGAUUAUUAUCCCGAGUGGAUUUAAGUGGAUCUGGAACAGCGUGAAGGGCUUCCUUGACCCAAAAACUUCAUCCAAGAUUCAUGUGCUUGGUUCGAACUACCAGAGCAGGCUUCUUGAAGUAAUAGAUUCGAGUGAGCUGCCAGAAUUCCUUGGCGGUUCAUGCACAUGUAGUGACGAGGGUGGUUGUCCAGGAUCGAACAAAGGGCCGUGGAAUGAUCCUUAUAUAUUGAAGCUGAUCCACAAUUUGGAAGCUGGAUGCGCGAGGGAAAUCAAACCUAUUUAUGAGGGGGAAGAAAGAAACAACUCCUCCUUUCGGUUGGAACAGAUGAAAUGUUAGGGCUUGUUAAGUGAUACAUCAAAUGCUGAAUCAGGAUCUAAUGUUGAUGAUUUUGGUGCAUCAUUUGUUCAUAAAGUUUCUGACUAUGGUUGCUUGGUGCAUCAUUUGAUUAAGAACUAACGAGCUGCUCUUUCUUCUAUGGCUCAAUUUUGCUAGGAUACGGAGCCGAGUGCAGCAUAUCCAUCGGAGGUAAACCUUCAGUUUCAUUUUUCAUGUUCUUUUCAUUAGUGAAAACCAUGAACUCAUGGCAUCGAUGUAUGCUCACAAACUUCCAUAAAAAACAUAGACACAACCUUUGUUUUAGUACACCGUGGAUACAUUGUCCAUGUAAUCAACCACGAGGGCCACAGUAAAUCUUCAGGCUCGAAAGGCUACCUGUCGAGCUUUGAUGACACGUCAGAGACUGCUCUGACCAUUUCAAGAGUGUAUGUGGUGAGAACGAAGUUGUGGAUUCCAGUGGCUAUGUACGCAAACCAUAGCCCUACAUGGGACCUCCAUUAUUUAUUUGCUAACAUGUUACAUGUCCAUUGCAUUUCCAUAGAAAGGGGAGAACAUGCUAAAGAAGAGAUUCCUCUACGGGUUCUCCAUGGGAGGAACUGUGGUGGUACAGCUCCAUAUGAAUGAUCCUUUCUACUGGGACGGUGCCGUGUUGCUUGCUCCAAUGUGCAGGGUCUUGUCCUUAACUGUAUUGAAUGGCCUAAGUUUCCUG